rnacentral:lncRNA from 1 species
UGCCCACCUCUGCCUCCCAAAGUGCUGGGAUUACAGGUGUGAGCCACCGCACCCAGUCAGCUCACUUAAUUUUCAUGGAAUACAGUGGGCAUUAUGAUCCCAAUUUUACAAGUGAGAAAACUGAGAAGGAGAGAGGUCCCCAAAGUUGCCUAAAGUCACACAGUAAGUGGUAGAGUCAGGAUUCCAGCUGAAGUCUGCUUCCAAAUCCCACCUUCUAACCGCUGCCACUAGACUGCUGUGUCUGCUGGGGUGUUAGGUCACAGGAGAAAAGAGAUAAUGGCUUUGUGACCCGGGAGCUCCGCCUUCACCUCCUCCUGCCAUCCUCAGCAUGAGCCAGCUGCAUGAGGGGUGCUGUGUGCUGGGCUGGAGGAUGGAGCCAUGUGCCACUCCCUCCGAGGCACGCUGUGAAGGUGCAAGUGGUGUGUUCUGAGAGCUGGAGCUGAGGCUGAAGGCAGUUGAGGGCCACCAGGGAGAAGAGCUGGGUCAGGGCCGUGACUUGCCAGCAAGCAUGAGGCCAAGCAGAUGUGCCGGAACAGCUGUGGUGACAGAGCUGUGGCCAACUGCUCCCUGGGCCGAGGGUGAAGGAAGCUGUGCUCCCACUGGUGCUAGGGAAGGCUGCUGCAGGGCUGGAGGCCUGGGUGCUGGACUGCUGGGGCAGGCUGCCUGCUGUACCCCCAAGCUGCAGUCAGGGCUCGCCCUGAGGCCCUGAGGUGGAGAGAGAGCAGCUGUCUCGUACACACCCAUGUGCACAAGUGCAGGCACACACACACACACACACACACACACAAAAGACGUUCUCACUUCAUCCCCGAAUUCUCCCUCCUACACACAAAGCUAGUUCCCAGUUCUCCAGUCCCCCUCCAUCCCUCUCCACUUCUGUAGUCUCUGCUGGGCUGCACUGGGGAUCUGGUCCCAAUUCCCCUCUCUUCCCUUGCUGCCCCUGUAACAAAGGGCUGGCCAUGUGACAUGAUCUCCUCAGGCUUCAGAGAAGUGAUUUUACCCUGAGCUACACAGGCAGGAAGACCACCAGCCUGGAAGGGCCCUUCAGCCACUUUCCCAACAAACAGCAAAUCUCCGCCGAUUGAACUCUGACUGAGGCAAUGGGGGCAUGCCAGGCAACAAGGUGGAGGUUUGCUACCGUGGGAGCAGGGAGAGCGUGGAACACAGACGCUCUGGGUGUUGAAGAGGAGGCUUCACCCUUAAAUCCACACCAACAGCCCCCUUCACUUCCCCCGGUGAAGAACGAAGGACCCUGUGGGAUUUCUACUUCAAAUCUCUCAUUUAUUCCGACAUCCACUCGGUUAUGACUCCAAGUUAUCAAAGAUGCAAGACAAGAAGUCUAGAGCAGGAGUGGUGAAGUGGAGGUGGAGAAAGACGGCGGAGAGGGCUGUGUUCCUGGCCCCUCCUUCUCUUCCAAUUUAGGGCACCGUUUGAAAAGUGUACAAGUAGUGUCCCUUAGCACAGACUAGACAGCAGAAAAGGACAGUGCAGUUGAGUGGGGGAAGCUUCCUUUUCCACAGGGUGGGGCCCUGCGGCUGCAGCGGGCAGGCAGGCAAUCUCGAGCCUGGUUGGAGACCGUGCCCUGAGCAGCGUGGGCUAUGUGGGGAAGAGCUGGGGCCCACCAUCUCUCCAGCACCCCAAACCCAGAUUCUGAUUUGUGGGGCUAGCAGGGCUUAGCUAGGAAAGCGGUAGGAGGGAGGGGAUUGCACAGGACGCUUGUACUCAGGGACCCCAUCAAUCAGGGGCAAGAAGUGGGUGAUGGUUAACUGGGUCUUGAUUUUUACAAAGGCAGGACGUACGAAUGAUGUUAUUUCUGGCAAGGAGGACACGGCUGCUGUGGUUGAUUGGCUGUGGAAUUCCAGGGGAGCAAGGCACUAGGAAGUGGGGAACGCUGCCAGGCCCAGCAGCUCAUCAGGAGCUUGCACUUGGCCCAGUUAGGGCUGGCCGUGGGACGGGCUUGUUGAAGCUGCUGCCGCCAUAAGCUGCCCCUCUGCACCAGGAGACAGAUCCCAUUACCCCACCUACAGCUGCUUCCUGGUACAAGAGAAGAGUUACCAUUUGAAAUGACUCCACAGGAGAGUCUGACAAACAUGUUUGCUUUUCACUGACAAUUAAAAUUGUUUUGCUGCUAA